rnacentral:rRNA from 1 species
AGUGAACGCUGGCGGUAGGCCUAACACAUGCAAGUCGAACGGCAGCACAGUAAGAGCUUGCUCUUACGGGUGGCGAGUGGCGGACGGGUGAGGAAUACAUCGGAAUCUACUUUUUCGUGGGGGAUACGUAGGGAAACUUACGCUAAUACCGCAUACGACCUACGGGUGAAAGCAGGGGAUCUUCGGACCUUGCGCGAUUGAAUGAGCCGAUGUCGGAUUAGCUAGUUGGCGGGGUAAAGGCCCACCAAGGCGACGAUCCGUAGCUGGUCUGAGAGGAUGAUCAGCCACACUGGAACUGAGACACGGUCCAGACUCCUACGGGAGGCAGCAGUGGGGAAUAUUGGACAAUGGGCGCAAGCCUGAUCCAGCCAUACCGCGUGGGUGAAGAAGGCCUUCGGGUUGUAAAGCCCUUUUGCUGGGAAAGAAAAGCAGCAGGUUAAUACCCCGCUGUUCUGACGGUACCCAAAGAAUAAGCACCGGCUAACUUCGUG